UCGCCUGUUUAUCAAAAACAUAGCCUCUUGCAGUAAUAUAAGAGGUGAAUUCUGCCCAGUGAUAUUUUCAACGGCCGCGGUAUCCUGACCGUGCAAAGGUAGCAUAAUCAUUUGCCCUUUAAUUAGGGGCUAGAAUGAAGGAAUAAACAAAUUUUACCUGUCUCUCUAUAAUUUUUAAAAAUUAACCUUUAAGUGAAGAGGCUUAAAUUUCAAUAAAAGACAAGAAGACCCUAAUAAGCUUCAUUUUAUUAGUAUCAUAUUAAUACUUUAUUAAAUUUUAUUGGGGCAAUAUUUUAUGAUGAAAAUCAUUUUAUCAAAAAAGAUACAACAUAUCUAAAUACAAAACUUUUUAUAAAAAAGACAAAGCUACUAUAGGGAUAACAGGCUAAUACUUUUCAAAAGCUCUUAUUAACAAAAGUGUUUGGCACCUCGAUGUUGGCUUGGGGAACCUAUUAUGUGCAGAAGCAUAAAAAGGUGGUUUGUUCAACCAAUAACUCCCUACAUGAUCUGAGUUCAAACCGGAGA
rnacentral:rRNA from 1 species